ACAGCAGCACAAAAUAUUGUCCUCAGAAGAUGUUUGAAUUUCAAGAAUAUUUAGAGCUAGAAAUAGAUUUGUUAUAAGGAAAGGACCAGCAGUUCAAUUAUUGCACAGCACAGUACUUAGAAAGCAGUUUAGGAUGAAUAGCCCUCUCAGUAUCUACAGCAAUUACAAGUUGUCAAAAUAUUUUUAAAAAUUGUAAUGGAUAUACUCAGUGGAUAUCUCCAAAUGGACAUGGAUAUAUCAAUAAUUUUCAAAUUUCAUAUAGUAAUUUUAUCACUAUUAUCAUGAAUUCUAUUAUUCCAAAUUCAGAAUUUCCAUUCUAAAUCUUUAAGUUUUAAAAUGCAAUGCAUUCUCAAAUGUACUCCUAAUUUUUCUCUAGGAAAUGUUUCGGCAUCUGGUCUCAAAUACAGGACUUUCUCCUGUAUAAAUUAAAUACAUUAAUGGCAGAAAGUUAUGGAAAGAUUAUUUUCUUCAAUGGCAGAACACAAAGGAAGUAAAGGUACUUUUAUUAACUGCAUUGUACAAAUGAGGAAACUGAAGCUCCAAGGAAUUGAUAACUCGCCCGAAGUCAUACAACUAAUCAGAUUCUACAGGAGUCAUCAAACUCUGGCAGUCCGGCCCCAGAUCCUGAGGCUUCUUUCAAUGUACUUCCAAAGACCAAAAAAAGAUGCGUACAUCCAACUCGGAAUGUAACACGGUUGUUCAGUAAGAAGUAAAGUGGAAGGAACAUUGUUACUCAAAUAAUGAAAAUGAGAAGAAUACCUGUCCUAUUUACUUUAAGGGAUUUCUGACUGUUGAAAACAUAUUCAAAAUAAUAAAUUCAAAUAAAAUUAAAGAUGACAUGAAAAUAUAUAAGCUAUGGAAUGGAUUAAAUGCAAAUGACAAGCAUGUAUGUACAAAGGUGCAUAUGUAUACGCCAUCAAGUAAGAAUACAUACAUUGUAAAGAGUAGAAGAUUUUAAACUUUGUUUUUCAAAUGAUAACCUGCAAUAGUUGAAAUUUAUAUUUGACUUAGAAAUUAUAUAAUUAAGCAUUGAUUUACUGUGCAUCUAACUUCAUAGCCUUCACUUUACAUUGGUCAGCAUGAAUUAUAAGUGUCAAAUGAUGGCUGCUUAUAAAUGUUGUAGCUAUACUUUAUAAACUAACCGGCCAAGAGAUAAUUGAUUUUAUUUUUCUCAGCAUUAUAAAUCAUACAUCAGUUUAGGUGUUUCUAUUAGAUAUGAUACCAGUUUGGUCCCAGCUUUUUAAAAGAAUAACAACAUGGGCAGCCGUAGUGUAGUAGAAAUCAUUUUUAACACUAUAUGAAAAGAAGUAAAUGCAAUAUGUUUUUUACAAUGGCAGACAAUUUUUGCAGGAAAAAAAGCCUGGAAGAAAUAUAACAUGUUCUGUAAUUUAGCAACAAUUAUCAUCAAUGUGAUAGGUUGAAAAUCAUGAUAUUGCUUACCUAUAAAAUGUAUUGUGACAACUUAUAGAUGUGAAUAAAAUUUAAUUUCUAUCUGAAGAUGAUUCUUGCAUUAAAAAUUGUAGAAUUUGGAAUCUACUUUAUUGAAUUGUCAUUUACUUUUAGCUAUACUUUUAGAAAAUAAAUCUUUAGAAGUAGCAAGUAAUGAAUGAUUGCAGAUGAUUGUUGAA